rnacentral:lncRNA from 1 species
CUUCUUCUGAUCCCCUCAGCCCCAUUUUGAGCAGUCUGUGGCUGUGGCUUCUGUAUUCCAGGAGGGAAUGGUGUUGGUCAGGUUUGUGUCACUAUGACAAAAUGUCUGAACUUAUCAGCUUCUAAGCUGGAAAAGCUCAUGGUUUCAGAGGUUUCAGUUCAUAGUCACUUGGCGUUGCCACUUUUGGGUCUGUGGUGGCACAGGCAGGAGCACGUGGUGGAGGAGGGCUGUUCGCUUCCUGGUGACCAGGAAGCACUGAGAGACAGGAAGGAGCUGGAGUCCCGGCAUCACCUGCAAGGACACACCCAACGUCCUGCCUUCCUCCCAGUAGGCCCUACCUUCCACCUUCCACAGGCUCCACUACUUCCCAGUAACGCCACUUGCUGGGUUCCAAGCCUUCCACAAUGGGCCUCUGGGGACAUUCGGGAUCCCAAACCUAGCACGGGGCUCGAGCAGCAAAGGCCCAUGAGGAUGCCACUCUUGGUCUUUCGGGGAUAUUCUAGUUACAAAGAGCACAGUGACACUGUGGAACCCUGACUAUUAUUAUUUUCUUUCUCUCUCGUUCACUCGAGCCGGGUUCCUUUGGCCUCUUGAAGCAGUGAACCAAGCAGUUGGCCCACCCUUUGACCUUUUCAGAUGGGGUGCAUUGGUGGCCCUGAUGGUGCUACCUAUAGUGUCCACGCAUGAGCAAUAAGGAGUCACCCUCCUUCCUUCCUCUUCCAGUCCCCAACAAGGAGAAACAAGCCCACCUGGGCUCAGCAACCCUUUUGCUGCCCUGCAGCACCCCACUCCCUCCCCGCAUAACGGCCUGGUCACCCCUAACUCGUUACUCCAGACCCAGGAGGUAAACGCUUCUGAGAUGCUUCCUGUUUCCUCUUCUUCCUGUUCAUUAACGUGAAGUACCCGUUUCUGAGAAGUGCCCGGCUAUUUAUUUCAGAACAGCCUGACAAGACUCCAAGCUCAUAAACGUGGAGAGCCACGGCCAUCGACCUAGAGCUCAUAGAAGUAGAUUUCUUCACACAAUGGGAUGCAACAUGGAAGUCCUGUCAGCUCCCAACACGUAUGCAAACCUGAGCUAAUUGCUCCCAGAAGCACGUUGACGCUGGAUUCAAAGCUGAUUUUUACCUCCCAGAGUGUUUGGGUGACCUGGCUGGGGGAAAGAGGGUUGUGGAUAAACUUUUUGCUCUUGGAGACCCAUCUUUAAAACCACACUGGCCUUCUAGAUAAAUCAUUUAAUUUUCAUUGUUUAAGAAAAAAAUAUUUCAGAGACUGAAAUCAGUUGUAAGUGGGCAUGGGGAACUGCACCAUUUUCCUCUCUCUGGCAAACAUUGCUAGGACUUUUCCCAAAGACUGAAGUUAUCCGUCACUCUGCUCCCGAGGACCAGAGCUCCUCCCAGACAUUUCCAGGCCCUGGAGAGGAGGAUGAGCCCAUAAUGUGGUAGGAGUAGAGUAAGGGUGACUUUGGAAUUCAGCAGCCUUGCACCUUCAGGAGAUAAUUCUGUUCACCUCCUUGCAGCCCACCUGCUUUCCUGGGAGGCGUUUGCUGUCUGGAGGUCGCUGCGUUUUUGUUAGUUACGCGUGCGUGCAGGUAAUGCUUGGCAGAGCACCAAGCCCAGAGAGUCC